AGAGCGAACGCUGGCGGCAGGCCUAACACAUGCAAGUCGAGCGCCCCGCAAGGGGAGCGGCAGACGGGAGAGUAACACGUGGGAACGUACCCUUCAGUUCGGAACAACCCAGGGAAACUUGGGCUGAUACCGAAUACGUCCGUAAGGAGAAAGAUUUAUCGCUGAAGGAUCGGCCCGCGUCUGAUUAGCUAGUUGGUGAGGUAACGGCUCACCAAGGCUACGAUCAGUAGCUGGUCUGAGAGGAUGAUCAGCCUCAUUGGGACUGAGACACGGCCCAAACUCCUACGGGAGGCAGCAGUGGGGAAUAUUGGACAAUGGGCGCAAGCCUGAUCCAGCCAUGCCGCGUGGAUGAUGAAGGCCUUAGGGUUGUAAAAUCCUUUCGGCGGGGAAGAUAAUGACGGUACCGCAGAAGAAGCCCGGCUAACUUCGUGCCAGCAGCCGC
rnacentral:rRNA from 1 species